CAUAGGUUAAUGAGGCGAACCGGGGGAACUGAAACAUCUAAGUACCCCGAGGAAAAGAAAUCAACCGAGAUUCCCCCAGUAGCGGCGAGCGAACGGGGAGCAGCCCAGAGCCUGAAUCAGUAUGUGUGUUAGUGGAAGCGUCUGGAAAGGCGCGCGAUACAGGGUGACAGCCCCGUACACAAAAAUGCACAUGCUGUGAGCUCGAUGAGUAGGGCGGGACACGUGGUAUCCUGUCUGAAUAUGGGGGGACCAUCCUCCAAGGCUAAAUACUCCUGACUGACCGAUAGUGAACCAGUACCGUGAGGGAAAGGCGAAAAGAACCCCGGCGAGGGGAGUGAAAAAGAACCUGAAACCGUGUACGUACAAGCAGUGGGAGCACGCUUAGGCGUGUGACUGCGUACCUUUUGUAUAAUGGGUCAGCGACUUAUAUUCUGUAGCAAGGUUAACCGAAUAGGGGAGCCGAAGGGAAACCGAGUCUUAACUGGGCGUUAAGUUGCAGGGUAUAGACCCGAAACCCGGUGAUCUAGCCAUGGGCAGGUUGAAGGUUGGGUAACACUAACUGGAGGACCGAACCGACUAAUGUUGAAAAAUUAGCGGAUGACUUGUGGCUGGGGGUGAAAGGCCAAUCAAACCGGGAGAUAGCUGGUUCUCCCCGAAAGCUAUUUAGGUAGCGCCUCGUGAAUUCAUCUCCGGGGGUAGAGCACUGUUUCGGCAAGGGGGUCAUCCCGACUUACCAACCCGAUGCAAACUGCGAAUACCGGAGAAUGUUAUCACGGGAGACACACGGCGGGUGCUAACGUCCGUCGUGAAGAGGGAAACAACCCAGACCGCCAGCUAAGGUCCCAAAGUCAUGGUUAAGUGGGAAACGAUGUGGGAAGGCCCAGACAGCCAGGAUGUUGGCUUAGAAGCAGCCAUCAUUUAAAGAAAGCGUAAUAGCUCACUGGUCGAGUCGGCCUGCGCGGAAGAUGUAACGGGGCUAAACCAUGCACCGAAGCUGCGGCAGCGACGCUGAUGCGUUGUUGGGUAGGGGAGCGUU
rnacentral:rRNA from 1 species